ACCUGAUGGUGUGGGCAUUUAUGGAGCAGGUCCUUGAAGCGCUCCCAGGUCUCAAAGAAAUGUUUCCCAUCCGUCUAUGUGAAACUUGUGAUUGCCCUUCGUAGCU